AAUGAGGUAGUCAUAUCCAGAAGGCCCCAAAUUGAGACACUGUUGAAAAUCAAAAGUGCUUCUCUUUGGGGUUAUCUUGUUUGU
rnacentral:pre_miRNA from 1 species